UGACAGCAUCAGGAGAGAUUUCUAAAAAGAAAUCCACCAACCGAGCUUAAAAGCUACGGUGGUUAGUUCCAUUAAACGGAAGAUGUGCCUCAAUAGAGGAAAAAUGGAACCGCCUGA
rnacentral:ncRNA from 1 species